UCUACUCCUCGCUUCUUCUUCGUCAACGCGGACGGGCCCGAUACUUCCUCACACCGGCCACCGUCGCACCACCUCAGGUACCUCCAUCGCAUCCCCACCCUCACCGUGAUGAGAACGCAUGGAUCUGAAGCUGCAUGUGCAACCCACGAGGCUUGGGGGACGAGCGCGACAACAACACUUGUGUAAGUUCAGGUUGGUAUAAAUGUAUUUGGAGAGGAAUUAUUGAGUUUGUGUUCUUCUAGCGCAAAAUGUGUCUGUCAGUUCAAAAUCCUCAACCCUGUAAGCUCAGAGAAAAAAAGAAACAAAUAAACAAAAUUCAUGAUAGAAAAAAAUUCGUGAAGUUCGCAAGGAAAACAAGAUAAGUUCAAAUAUAAUAAAUAUAUAAGUAGAACAUUGUAGGGAAUUUCAUUGUAGAGUUAACAAUCUGGUGUUGCUGCUGUUUGUGUUGACCGUGACGGAGUAUUUGCUAUUCCGGUAUAAUUACAUUCUGCUAUGAGAAUUUGCUACCGGGGGCAUGAAGUAGCAGCCUGCCAAGUUGCUGCCGCGAAUGAACUUGGUUUAUUGUAGGUGAUUCUACUGAACUUGUGCUAUGUUAUUUAUGGUUAGAACUAUCAAUGGAUAAUGAAGGUGAAAAUGAUUAUAUUGGACUGCAACAACAGAAAACUUAGCUGGAAGUAGGAAGUUUGAUUCAUCUGCUACUGCUCUUUUUGGGCUUCUGCUUUACUCCAAAAAUAUUGUGUUUUGCAUUAGAUGCUAGACAACAUGAUUUCAUUUUAGUACUAACAUUAUUGCGUACACUAAAUUGGCAAUCCCACUGUUGUGUUAACACCUAAUUUUGUUGCUCUAAAUCCGUGAGAUCUUGGAUGUUGGAGUUACCCUUGAAGAAAAAACUUGGGUAUUUGAGUUGCUUCCAUGUGGCGAGUCUUGAUCUUGGUGGCGCGAAGCUACAUUUCAGUAUCCAAGUAUUGCAUCAGGAAGUUGCAUGAGAAGAUUUUCCUUUCAAAUGCAUGCUACGUUUGUAGCUCUCAAAUUUUCUCCUUUGUGGAUGCGUUUGUAAGCAGUCCUCUCUCACCUUUGCUAUCACGUUUUUUUUGUUGAACUUAAGGAGGAUGCUUGGGAUAAAAAUGCCUUUUUUAUUUUGCAAUGCUUGAAGCAAUUUGUUUCAGUAGUACUCCCUCUGUAAACUAAUAUAAGAGUGUUUAGAUAACUAAAAUAGUAAUCUAAACACUCUUAUAUUAGUUUACGGAGGGAGUACAACUGUACAAGUUUUAUUUUUGUAUGUUGUAUGGCUUGCCGACCUGCUCUCUCUCUGAUCUGUGAACUGAUACUUUAUAUUUGGUGAACUCUAUCCUAUAUGUGUGGCGCGCCAAGCACACCCCCGGCUGCCUCCUCCUCUUGCUUACUCCCGCACGAGGCACGCUGCGCCGAGCACGCACCCGGCCGCCCCUGCCUCCGGUAAAUCGACACACUCAGUUCAGUUUGUUUUUUCAAUUCAGUUCAAUUCUAAAAAAUAGUUUUCUCCAUCUCUGUAGCUUGCCUGAACUGAUAGCUGAUAGUCGAUGAACUCUGUCCAAUUCGACUCUUGAACUCAUAGCUGAUUGUUUUAUGAAAUAGUAAAAAAGUUUUUGUUUCAUCUUUGACUCUUGUUCUCUGUUCUUUCACUCUCAAAAUUAUGUGCAUGUGCAGAUGCUACUUGCUGAUUGCUACUUGACGCAACCAUUUUUGUCUUGAUUUUGCAUUUAUAUGACACGAAUUUGCUAUGAAAAAAACAAGGUCAAAACAGAAAACAAAAAUUAGUACCUUUGUGCUUGCUAGGUGUUUGUUUAUGUCUCUUAAGAACCAAAAAAACUAGUAACAUCCCUAUAUAGGGCCGUGAGUGUGCUUUUAAGUUUGUUGAUAUGUCUCAAGGACGAAAAUUAAAAAAAAAGCAUCCUUAGCAUUGUUGAUAUGUCCCAACCCCGUCCACCGUGCCCCCAUCACGCCUCUCACUACCCCUCCGCCGCGCGCCGGCAGCCUCGGCCCCGCGGGGAACCGCCUUCUCAACCACCAACGACCUCUGCAGCGGCGACGCGCACGCUAGGGAUGCAAACUACAGGUACAGCAGCGAUGGAAGGUGGUGGUCAUGGAGAUGAUGCGCUUGUGCGCCGCCCUCCCCGUCGGGGCCAUGCACUAGAUACCCGCCGCCAGCCGGCCUCUCUGCCAACCCAUCGUCCCCUCGCGUGAGACCCAUCUUGGUCGACACCAACUCCUGUCGCCCACCGUCCUGCCACCACAGACUCCACCAUCGUCCAACCCUCUGCAUCCUCUCAGUCUUUAGACCCAAAAAUGCUGAUUGCACAUGUGAAUUUGGACAUCAGGAAAUUGCGAGCAUGAACUGAAUUCUGAAAAAAUACAUUCUAUUGAUGCUCUUGCAAGUUCGGGAACAACUUUGGCUUGACGCAGUGCAAAGACCACCGCUGUCCCUACCUUACCUACAGGUUCGAGUCUAUGCACAACAUCUGAAAAAUUAACUUGUAGGUACCACAUCAGGGAGUUAUGGGUAACAGGUUCACGAGAUCAUCCCGACAUCUUCAGUCUGUAUUCUGUCAUCAGUUAUGUGUGUAUUUUUGUUCUCUUUUCUUCAGUCCACAUAGAAGAAUUAUUGUCAGUUCAUGAAUAGAGAAUUUAUGUACCAGACUUGAUAUUAGUUUGGUGUGUAAUCUAUCGUCAGUCCAUGAAAAAUCACAGAAUAGUUGGUGCGUGUGCUGAAAAAUUGUCAGUGCAAGUUUCAAAAUUCUGUAAGUUUAGAUAUAUCACGUAAAUAAAGUAAUGAUUUGCAGCGAGUUUCUUCAAAAUUAUGUAAAGUUUAGAUAUAUCACCUAAAAAAUCGUCAGUGCAAGUUUCAAAAUUCUGUGAAGUUUAGAUAUAUCGUAAAGAAAAAUCGAUGAGUCACCAUCUGCUUUUUAUUCAUGUUCUCUGCAGCACAAGUAGCAGUGGGACUGACUGGGAGUGAUCCCUGAACCACUUCAUCAAAGCCCAUGGUUUCCAACAAUGCUAAUGCUACUGGAAAGUGCUAGAGCUCAUGAAGCCUCUUGGCUUCUCGAAUAAGCAGGUUUGGCUAGUUCCUGAAGCGCCUCCUCAAGCUCUUCGACGAUAACUGGGCGUCCAUCAAGGAUGGGAGCUACUGCAUCCUUGUUGACAUCAUACGGGAUGACAAAAAGCAAUGAACCAUUACCUACAACUACCGGUCAUGUAAAAAAUGCUACUUUCAUUUGUUUGGUAGCCUUCCUUAAUUACCAAUUUAUGUUUAGCCUCACCAAUUGCAGUUUUUACUUAAGGUGACGUGCCUAAAAGAGUCCAAGCCUCACAACUCAUUGCGGUCAGACUAGAUCACCAACACCUCUCCUGCCCGAUAUAACAAGGAUGUCGGUGAUAAUGAAAACCUCCCUCACAGUAGAGCGGCCGAGUGCACCUUGCCAUCUACAUUUCAGAGCCCAUCAGUUCAGUGAGAUCUCUCCCAGUACAUGUUCAGUUUUCAUUUUGGUCGGUAGCAAUUUGUUCCUGAAAGAGUUAUGAUUCCCCGCACCCUGCUUAUCAAAGUUCGUUCCAUUUCAUGUUAUUAUUCCAGUGACAACUCAUAUCAAUUGUUAUUUCAUGUUAAACUCAGUUUAGUUUCUGGACGCAUAUAACAUUGGUGUGCGUCAGUGCUAUACAAACUGUUUUUAACCCCUUUCCGCGACGGCAUUUGGAACCGUCGUCAAGUGAGUGUGGGCGCUAGGGGGUUCUUCC
rnacentral:lncRNA from 1 species